rnacentral:rRNA from 1 species
AGGGAAUCUUGCGCAAUGGGCGAAAGCCUGACGCAGCGACGCCGCGUGGGGGAUGAAGGUCUUCGGAUCGUAAACCCCUGUCUUUGGGGACGAAGCAUGACGGUACCCAAGGAGGAAGCCCCGGCUAACUACGUGCCAGCAGCCGCGGUAAAACGUAGGGGGCGAGCGUUGUCCGGAAUUACUGGGCGUAAAGGGUGCGUAGGCGGCCGCUUAAGUCCUGUGUGAAAGGCCCCGGCUUAACCGGGGAGGGUCAUGGGAAACUGGGCGGCUUGAGUGCCGGAGAGGGUGGCGGAAUUCCCGGUGUAGCGGUGAAAUGCGUAGAGAUCGGGAGGAACACCAGUGGCGAAGGCGGCCACCUGGACGGCAACUGACGCUGAGGCACGACAGCUGGGGGAGCAAAC